GGGAAGCAUUUUUUUUUCUUUCUGAACUCUUAAUUAAAUGUUUAUUUUUAAUCCAUUUACUUAUUAACUAUGGAAUAUUAUGAAUUAUUGCAGUCAUCUGUUUAUUUAUUUAGACCAUAUUUUAAUGUGGGUUACAAAAACUCUUCCAGUCUCAGCUACAGCUAGUGUUUGAAGACGGGGACACACUUAACGAUUGUAAGGCCGAUUAUGAAUGUAAUUUGAUACUUACGACAGAUCAUGCUCAAAUGCGCCGAGUCAGAGCCAACCAGGUGAAAAAAGUACAUUUCUAUAAUGUACUUAAAGUGCUCUAUUUUCACGCACUAAUUUUGUACUUAAUAUACUAAACGUUCUUCUUUAAUAAGAUAAUCUUAGGAACAUCUAAGUGUACUCAACUGUGCUAUUUUGAGACACCAUGAAUAUGAACUAAAAUGUGCUAGCUGAGAGAAGCAGCUCUCUCUCUUUAGGGCAGGACUUGAUUUUACACAUCAGCUGUUGACUGAAUUUUGAAAAGUGGGCUUUGUAUUAAAGCGACAGCAAUUGUUUGGCUUCAGAAGACACUGAUUCAUCCUCUGGUGUUGUAUGGUUUACCAUCACAAUCGCUGUGUGUGGUUUUUCAAGCUUAAACUGAGCUUUUCAACCAUUCAACUGCAUUAUAUGGACUCACAAAGAUGGAUUAUUUAUUUCCCUAAAAAUCUUCGUUUGUGUUUAUCCAAAGAAAAAAAGUCAUAUACAUCGGGGAUGGCAUGAGUGAAUGAUGAAAGGUUUUUUAUUUUUCUGCACUGUAAAAAGCGCUAAAUAAAUAAAGGUCACUUGACUUGA